rnacentral:rRNA from 1 species
UACAGAGGGGGCAAGCGUUGUUCGGAAUUACUGGGCGUAAAGGGCGCGUAGGCGGCCUGCUAAGUCGAACGUGAAAUCCCUGGGCUCAACCCAGGAACUGCGUCCGAUACUGGUUGGCUUGAAUCCGGGAGAGGGAUGUGGAAUUCCAGGUGUAGCGGUGAAAUGCGUAGAUAUUGGGAAGAACACCCGUGGCGAAGGCGGUUCUCUGGGACGGUACUGACGCUGAGACGCGAAAGCGUGGGGAGCGAACAGG